UACGUAGGGUGCGAGCGUUGUCCGGAAUUACUGGGCGUAAAGCGUGCGCAGAUGGUCAUGUAAGUCGGGUGUGAAAGCCCCGGGCUCAACCUGGGAAUUGCAUUCGAGACUGCAUGGCUAGGGUGCGGAAGAGGAGACUGGAAUUCCUGGUGUAGCAGUGAAAUGCGUAGAUAUCAGGAGGAAUACCGAUGGCGAAGGCAGGUCUCUGGGCUGACACUGACGCUCAUGCACGAAAGCGUGGGGAGCAAACAGG
rnacentral:rRNA from 1 species